UCGGGAUAGCUCAGUUGGUAGAGCAGAGGACUGAAAAUCCUCUUGAACCUUCCAUAAAAA
rnacentral:tRNA from 1 species